GACGUAGGAGGCGAGCGUUGUCCGGAUUCAUUGGGCGUAAAGAGCGUGUAGGCGGUCCGGUAAGUCCGCUGUGAAAGUCGGGGGCUCAACCCUCGAAUGCCGGUGGAUACUGUCGGGCUAGAGUGCGGAAGAGGCGAGUGGAAUUCCUGGUGUAGCGGUGAAAUGCGCAGAUAUCAGGAGGAACACCUAUUGCGAAGGCAGCUCGCUGGGACGUCACUGACGCUGAGACGCGAAAGCGUGGGGAGCAAACAGG
rnacentral:rRNA from 1 species